rnacentral:rRNA from 1 species
AGCGAACGCUGGCGGCAGGCUUAACACAUGCAAGUCGAGCGGGCGUAGCAAUACGUCAGCGGCGCACGGGUGCGUAACGCGUGGGAAUAUGCCCUUCACUGCGGAAUAACGUUUGGAAACGAACGCUAAUACCGCAUAAUGACUCCGGUCCAAAGAUUUAUCGGUGAAGGAUUAGCCCGCGUUAGAUUAGCUAGUUGGUGAGGUAAUGGCUCACCAAGGCGACGAUCUAUAGCUGGUCUGAGAGGAUGAUCAGCCACACUGGGACUGAGACACGGCCCAGACUCCUACGGGAGGCAGCAGUGAGGAAUAUUGGACAAUGGGGGCAACCCUGAUCCAGCAAUGCCGCGUGGGUGAUGAAGGCCUCGGGUUGUAAAGCCUUUCGCGGGACGGAUGAUGACGGUACCCGCCAGAAGAAGCCCCGGCUAACUUCGUGCCAGCAGCCG